rnacentral:lncRNA from 1 species
UUUUAAAGGUUGCAUUUUCCAGAUCAAUAGCUGCAUACCACACAUCAAAUCUAUGUUGAUCUAUCCUAGUAAGAGUAUCACACCUGUCCCAGCUGCAAUUGGAGCUAUCACUGUACCUUAAGUCAGUAAUUGGCUGACUUAAGUUUGUCAUUUUUUCUUUUUGAUACAUCCAAAGCACCAGCACUAACCAACCAUCUUAUGGUCAUCAUUUCCCCACAUCUCCCAAAUACCAGAGUUACUGCACACACAACACAUCUUUUUCUAACUGUACCUUGUCCCAAUUCAUUUCAGGUGAAUCACAGCCAUCAACACAGCAUCCAUUUCCAGCGAUGGGAUCCAACCUCAGAAUCCUAUCCUUAGAAUUCUGCAUCCAGGGAUCCCUGGGUGGCGCAGCAGUUUAGCGCCUGCCUUUGGACCAGGGCGCAAUCCUGGAGACCCAGGAUCAAAUCCCACAUCGGGCUCCCGGUGCAUGGAGCCUGCUUCUCCCUCUGCCUCUCUCUCUCUCUCUCUCUCUCUCUCUGUGACUAUCAUGAAUAAAUAAAUAAAAUCUUUAAAAAAAAAAAAAAAAAGAAUUCUGCAUCCAGGUACUACUUCCAUGCCAAUCAUAUUUGGUUGCAUUCUCCAGAAGCAGACUCUGAGGUAACAGUUUCUGUGAAUGAGAUUUGUGAGGAAAAAAAAAAAAAGAAAAGAAAAGCUACCAGGAGAAGCCAGGGUGAAGAAACAGGGCAGGGCACAAGAUGGGCUGAACAAGGGUAACUUUUCUGGCAAAGUCCCACAGAAAGUAGUUUCAGAUUUGAUUUCACAGGGUGACAGAGUCUUAACCUGACCAGACUUUGGUCAGGCUCCUCUGACUCCUGUGCCCAACUUGGCCUCAGAUUUUGUAUUUCCAUGUCCAUUUUUGCUCAACCAAUUUUAGCAAGAAUCCUACUGAGUGGUUUAGUCAGAGUCCCCUGCCCUCAAUACCUGAUCACCCUCAGUUUGUGACCAUGUUCUUCAUUUCCCACCACCUCCCAGGUGAUGUCUGAUGCCAAAUCUUGUCUUCAGCAAGAACCCUGUCAGGCCAGUUUAGCCAGAAUCCUCUUUACCUUUGAUAUUUUCUCUUAGUAAUUCUCCAUCCAGUGAUAACCCCCCACCACCCUCCCUCUUCUCCUUGGCUAUAAAUCCCCAAUUUUCCUCAUGUUUGGUGUUGAGCCCCAUUGCUCUCCCCUACUGCAAAAACUCAUUGGCC